rnacentral:rRNA from 1 species
UGUCCGGAUUUACUGGGUGUAAAGGGUGCGUAGGCGGCUUUGCAAGUCAGAUGUGAAAUCUAUGGGCUCAACCCAUAGCCUGCAUUUGAGACUGCAGAGCUUGAGUGAAGUAGAGGCAGGCGGAAUUCCCCGUGUAGCGGUGAAAUGCGUAGAGAUGGGGAGGAACACCAGUGGCGAAGGCGGCCUGCUGGGCUUUAACUGACGCUGAGGCACGAAAGCGUGGGUAGCAAACAGGAUUAGAUACCCUGGUAGUCCACGCUGUAAACGAUGAUUACCAGGUGUG